rnacentral:rRNA from 1 species
UACAGAGGGUGCAAGCGUUAAUCGGAAUUACUGGGCGUAAAGCGAGCGUAGUCGGUUAUUUAAGUCGGGUGUGAAAGCCCCGGGCUCAACCUGGGAAUUGCAUUCGAUACUGGAUAGCUAGAGUUCGGCAGAGGGAAGCGGAAUUUCCGGUGUAGCGGUGAAAUGCGCAGAUAUCAGGAGGAACACCGGUGGCGAAGGCGGGUCUCUGGGCCGAUACUGACGCUGAGGAGCGAAAGCGUGGGGAGCGAACAGG